rnacentral:lncRNA from 1 species
ACCUGAAGUCUCUACAAUGAAUUGUAAAUAUUAAUAGGAUUACUAGUAUCUAAUAUCUAGAUCAUUGAAUUAUAAAUUGAGAAGUUGUAAGGAGUAAUCAUAUAAUUAUCUUGCUUAGCAACUGAUUGCUUCUUCUUCUUCGGCCUGCUCUGGUCAAGAGAAGCAAUGUAUUGAGGAUAGUUUUUCUUUCAAUGAUCCUACUUCCUACAGUAAAAGCACUCUGUCUG